rnacentral:lncRNA from 1 species
AUGGCUCACCCAUCCCUGUUACCUGUGUGCCCCACAGCAAACGCGAAACUGGAAGGGGGACCACCUAGCUUCCAAAAGGCCUGCAGCCUCUGCUCUCUGGGUGGUAAGGUGUGGCACGAGGGAGGCAGGCUCCGGCUCGAUGGUGGCACGAGGGAGGCAGGCUCUGGCUCGAUGGUGGCACGAGGGAGGCAGGCUCUGGCUCGAUGGUGGCACGAGGGAGGCAGGCUCCGGCUCGAUGGUGGCACGAGGGAAGCAGGCUCCGGCUCGAUGGUGGCGUUUGCCUUUUCUGAUGGACAGGAUCUCGUCCAUCCCGGCUUCCAAGAUCUCCACGGCACGUGGCUGACUUCCCGAAGGCCAGGAUCUCUCUGGCACCUGAGCCUCGCCCGGGCCCUCAUCACCUCUUGCCCAGGAAGUCAUCCAUGUCAGAGCAGCCUGCCUGCCUCCCUCUCUGCAGCCUCUGCCUUCUCUGGCCCUUCCUCCCGGUCCCUGACCCCGUGAGUGCUCAAGGAUCUUCCAUGGCUCCCGCUGCCCCCCGUUCCCAGGCUUGCUUCAUUUACACAGGUGUCCUGGGCUCCCCCAUUCAUGCUGUGACCCAGGCUGUCCCUCGGAUGCCAGUCCCUUCUCAUUGAAGUCAUUGGGCUGGGCCAGCCGGGUGGCUCGGUGGAUGGAGAGCCAGAUCUGGAGGCGGGAGGCCCUGGGUUCCAAUGUGAUCUCCAACACUUCCUAGCCGGGUGACCCUGGGCAAGUCACUUGACUGCCCACUGCUCGGCUCUUCCUGCUCUCCAUUGGGGUGGGUUCUAAGGCCCAGCUCCAGGGGUGCCCUCCCCCUUCACGUUUUCCUAGCAUGCCUCCCCUCCCCCAAGUGGCUUGAGGGCAGGCCCUUUCCCCCUCCUUCCCCUCUCUGCCCCUUGCCCAGCCCAUCACCGGUUUCUAAUCCAUGUCUGGGCGGCUGGAUUGAGUUCGCGUCCUGACCUAGGAACAACACUUUGCCUCCCGGCCUCAGUUUUCUCACCCACAAAAUGGGCUCGGGGAGAUGAGCUCUGGGGGAGGUGGGUGACAGGCAGAGCCGAGGCAAGCUUGGGUACAAAGCCGUAUUUAUAGAUUUAUUUAUAUAUGUAUAUUUGCCUCCGGAAGAGAGGACGGUCCAGGGGAAAGCUACAGACACGGAGUGAGCGAGCGGGACGCCUGUCCACGGUCAGACUUGGGCACAGUAUAAUAUGAAUCAAAGCUCAGUCG